rnacentral:rRNA from 1 species
UACGUAGGGUGCGAGCGUUGUCCGGAAUUAUUGGGCGUAAAGAGCUCGUAGGCGGUUUGUCACGUCUGCUGUGAAAACUCGGGGCUUAACUCCGGGCCUGCAGUGGGUACGGGCAGACUAGAGUGCGGUAGGGGAGACUGGAAUUCCUGGUGUAGCGGUGAAAUGCGCAGAUAUCAGGAGGAACACCGGUGGCGAAGGCGGGUCUCUGGGCCGUAACUGACGCUGAGGCACGAAAGCGUGGGGAGCAAACAGG